UACGUAGGGUGCAAGCGUUAUCCGGAAUUAUUGGGCGUAAAGGGUGCGUAGGUUGUUCUGUUAGUCUUUUGUUAAAGCCCCGAGCUUAACUCGGGAUAUGCGGGAGAAACGGCAGAACUUGAAAGUGUGAGAGGCGUACGGAACUCAUGGUGUAGGGGUGAAAUCCGUUGAUAUCAUGGGGAACACCAAAUGCGAAGGCAGUACGCUGGCGCAUAUUUGACACUGAAGCACGAAAGCGUGGGUAGCGAAUGGG
rnacentral:rRNA from 1 species